GCCCGGUUAGCUCAAUCGGUAGAGCGCGAGGUAAUUCUUUCUUCCUAGCUCUUCCAUUGGCUUUAACUAACCCUAGAUUAGACUCUUAAUCAAUAGAGGUUUAUCUCGAGGUUGCGGGUUCGACCCCCGCAUCGGGCU
rnacentral:tRNA from 1 species